CACCUACUACUACUACUGCUUCCACAACUUCACAAGCACUAGCCCUGAUGACGAAGGCUGUCAUACAUCCGCCCUAGGCCACGAUGUCGGCAGUGCCUGAGUCAUUGACUUCUUCAGUGACUCAUCUGUUAUUGAGCGCUUAGCGCUCUCAUCAACGACCCUAGCCUAUCGAUGAGGGUGAUGAGUUUGCAUCAGCUUCCACCGCAGUAGGUUAUGGGAAUUGUUGUGUACUUAAGUUGGUUGAGUUGUUUAUUUGUUUGUAGGUUAUGGGAAAUGUUGUAUUUUUAGGGGAAGUUCUGUCGAAUUUUUCGUAGAUUAUUUAAAUUAUUUUUACAUUAACUUAUUUCAUUUUGUAGGUCGUAAAAAAAAAAAACAAAGGGUCCAUGCAGACUCAUGGGCACGUCACAACUCACCCGCACCACCCAAUAACGUAUAAAGAUUCCAUGGGAUGCUCGACAUCGGGUGGCAGCAACAAAGGAGUAUCACAACCGUUCAGUCCACAACGUUGGCUCCAUUAUGCAUCAUCACUGCCCCAUGCAGUGGGAGUCUUAGAGAUUUGUCCCACAGGAGACCAAGGACUAUGUUCUUCAUGAGCUAUCAAUUAGUAAAGUUUUCUUUGUUUUCAUUAUUUUGUAAGUAAAGUUGUGAAAUUUAAUAACUGUUAACUUUGAUUAAUUUGGUUCGUAUUUGUAGCAUCACUAUGACCUCGAGGACCUUGAUGCCAAUCAAGCCAAGUACAUCCAAUAACUUUUCACCAGCUGGUUCACUCAGUGGAAGAGCGACCUCCACAAGUAUUUCGAGAGAUUUGAUGAUCCGACUGAAGCUCUAGCACACGGGUGCCCCUUGGAGUUGGCGAAGCGCCCUGAAAAUUGGAACUGGCUCUGCACCCAUUUUCAGGAUGAAAAAUACUUGAAAAGAGCCAAGGCAACGCAAUAAAUAGGUUGAAGAAAAAGCUUAUCCACCACUCCAACUCCAGAUGCUUUUCAUAUAGGAUGGAGGAGUGACGUUGGGCAGGGACGAAAUUUUCGGAGAUUGACACAUUGAAGAAAGUGUACGUGCGGCCCGUGGAUGAAUUCACACAGGGGCUCCAUGCUACUAUGAUGGAGAGGAGCCAGGCUGUCCUUGAGGAAAUGGCUUCCCAACUUCCCCCCGACACCCUAAUAGAGGAGGUACCCCCCCUCCCCGAGGAUGCGAGUCUCCAUAUGAUGAUGGACACCCUCAACCCGAGACUCGGUCGUAGGCUGGGGAAGGUGUAUUGGGGUAUGGGAAAUGCCUGCCAUUGUGAGACGGGAGCCUCAUCUUUCACCUUUACCUCGAGACAAGUCGCAUCAUUGACAGAAAAGUAGCGGAACUCGAGCAGCAAGCGGCGAUCUAACAUAAGCACAUUGCGACACAAUUUACCCACAUCGCCACCCAGGAAGCUCAUAUUGCUGCCUAAGAGUCUAAGAUGGUUCAGAUCAUUGCCACACUUCAGCUGUCUGACUUCAACAUCCCAUGCCCUUGACCCAACACAGCCGACCGCAGAACUUGACUAUGAUAACUUUUUAUUGUAGUUUUUUAUUUUUUUAAUUAAACAUUCGUGCAUUUAAAAAUUUUCCCCAC